rnacentral:rRNA from 1 species
UACGUAGGGGCGAGCGUUAUCCGGAAUUAUUGGGCGUAAAGAGUGCGUAGGUGGUCUUGUAAGCGUGGGUGAAAGGCAGUGGCUUAACCAUUGUUAGCCUUGCGAACUGUGAGACUUGAGUGCAGGAGAGGAAAGUGGAAUUCCUAGUGUAGCGGUGAAAUGCGUAGAUAUUAGGAGGAACACCAGUGGCGAAGGCGACUUUCUGGACUGUAACUGACACUGAGGCACGAAAGCGUGGGGAGCAAACAGGAUUAGAUACCCUGGUAGU